UGCGAGAGACUGCUGGGGACAGGCAU
rnacentral:piRNA from 1 species